rnacentral:rRNA from 1 species
AUGGGAAGAGGAAAAGGAAAUCCGACGGGUUGGAUUGCUCGUGUGUCCACGGGACAAAUCCCAUUUGAAAUGGAUGGUGUGAGUUUGUCAAAUGCUCGACAAGCCGCUAGAUUAGCGCAUAAACCAUGUUCGUCAACCAAGUUUGUUCAGUGGUCGUAA